UUUUAGAGUUUGAUCCUGGCUCAGGAUGAACGCUGGCGGCGUGCCUAAUACAUGCAAGUCGAGCGAACAGAUAAGGAGCUUGCUCCUUUGACGUUAGCGGCGGACGGGUGAGUAACACGUGGAUAACCUACCUAUAAGACUGGGAUAACUUCGGGAAACCGGAGCUAAUACCGGAUAAGAUUUUGAACCGCAUGGUUCAAUAGUGAAAGACGGCCUUGCUGUCACUUAUAGAUGGAUCCGCGCCGUAUUAGCUAGUUGGUAAGGUAACGGCUUACCAAGGCAACGAUACGUAGCCGACCUGAGAGGGUGAUCGGCCACACUGGAACUGAGACACGGUCCAGACUCCUACGGGAGGCAGCAGUAGGGAAUCUUCCGCAAUGGGCGAAAGCCUGACGGAGCAACGCCGCGUGAGUGAUGAAGGUCUUCGGAUCGUAAAACUCUGUUAUCAGGGAAGAACAAACGUGUAAGUAAACUGUGCACGUCUGACCG
rnacentral:rRNA from 1 species